UGCCUAUUAGUGGGGGACAACAUUCCGAAAGGAAUGCUAAUACCGCAUACGCCCUACGGGGGAAAGCAGGGGAUCUUCGGACCUUGCGCUAAUAGAUGAGCCUAAGUCAGAUUAGCUAGUUGGUGGGGUAAAGGCCUACCAAGGCGACGAUCUGUAGCGGGUCUGAGAGGAUGAUCCGCCACACUGGGACUGAGACACGGCCCAGACUCCUACGGGAGGGCAGCAGUGGGGAAUAUUGGACAAUGGGCGAAAGCCUGAUCCAGCCAUGCCGCGUGUGUGAAGAAGGCCUUUUGGUUGUAAAGCACUUUAAGCGAGGAGGAGGCUACCGAGAUUAAUACUCUUGGAUAGUGGACGUUACUCGCAGAAUAAGCACCGGCUAACUCUGUGCCAGCAGCCGCGGUAAUACAGAGGGUGCGAGCGUUAAUCGGAUUUACUGGGCGUAAAGCGUGCGUAGGCGGCUUUUUAAGUCGGAUGUGAAAUCCCUGAGCUUAACUUAGGAAUUGCAUUCGAUACUGGGAAGCUAGAGUAUGGGAGAGGAUGGUAGAAUUCCAGGUGUAGCGGUGAAAUGCGUAGAGAUCUGGAGGAAUACCGAUGGCGAAGGCAGCCAUCUGGCCUAAUACUGACGCUGAGGUACGAAAGCAUGGGGAGCAAACAGGAUUAGA
rnacentral:rRNA from 1 species